CUUGGAGAUUGCUGCUUGGUGGAGAUUGUCUCAGCAGUUCCCAGCAGACCGAAGGCUUCCAUACGGCAUGUCAUCUCUUUUACAGAGAAUGCCAUAUCUUUGAUGUGUUGGGAAGCACUGCCUAUUGAACAGAGCAGUCAGAUGAAUUCGUCACCAUUUCCUAUGUAUUUUCACCAAUGAUGAACAAGAGUCAGCAUGCCAUGCUCUUAAAUAUCUGCUCCAGUGGAGGUGAUCCACGGUUGUGAUUGUUGAAACACACCACCCAGGACAUUGCUGUGCUCACAUUAACUGUUUGGUCUUCAUCAAAGUUCAACUUUCAGUAGAAUUAUGGAAAUACAAUAAAUCAGAGGAUUUAUUAAAGUCGUCUCCACAUGCAUCAAGUCCAUGCUCACGGCAUCCUGAAGGUAUCAUUCUUG